UACGUAGGGUGCGAGCGUUAAUCGGAAUUACUGGGCGUAAAGCGUGCGCAGGCGGUUUUGCAAGCCGGAUGUGAAAUCCCCGGGCUCAACCUGGGAAUGGCAUUCGGGACUGCAAGGCUGGAGUGCGGCAGAGGAGACUGGAAUUCCUGGUGUAGCAGUGAAAUGCGUAGAUAUCAGGAGGAAUACCGAUGGCGAAGGCAGGUCUCUGGGCUGACACUGACGCUCAUGCACGAAAGCGUGGGAGCAACAGG
rnacentral:rRNA from 1 species